GACGAACGCUGGCGGCGUGCCUAAUACAUGCAAGUCGAGCGGAUCUUGCCCUUCGGGGCAAGGUUAGCGGCGGACGGGUGAGUAACUCGUAGGCCACCUGCCUGCAUGACCGGGAUAACAUUCGGCAACGAAUGCUAAUACCGGAUACGCCGUCUGAUCGCAUGAUUGGGCUGUGAAAGACGGUGAAAGCUGUCACGUGCAGACGGGCCUGCGGUGCAUUAGCUAGUUGGUGAGGUAACGGCUCACCAAGGCGACGAUGCAUAGCCGACCUGAGAGGGUGAUCGGCCACACGGGGACUGAGACACGGCCCAGACUCCUACGGGAGGCAGCAGUAGGGAAUCUUCCGCAAUGGACGAAAGUCUGACGGAGCAACGCCGCGUGAGUGAUGAAGGUCUUCGGAUCGUAAAGCUCUGUUGCCAGGGAAGAACAGCCGGGAGAGUAACUGCUCCUGGAAUGACGGUACCUGAGAAGAAAGCCCCGGCUAACUACGUGCCAGCCGCCGCCGUAAUAC
rnacentral:rRNA from 1 species